rnacentral:rRNA from 1 species
AUACGUAGGGGGCGAGCGUUGUCCGGAAUUACUGGGCGUAAAGGGUGCGUAGGCGGUUGCUUAAGUUGGAUGUGAAAUACCCGGGCUUAACUUGGGGGGUGCAUUCAAAACUGGGCGACUAGAGUUCAGGAGAGGGAAGCGGAAUUCCUAGUGUAGCGGUGAAAUGCGUAGAUAUUAGGAGGAACACCAGUGGCGAAGGCGGCUUUCUGGACUGACACUGACGCUGAGGCACGAAAGCGUGGGGAGC